AUAGACCUAAUACUUAAAAUCCUGCUCCAAACAAAAUAUAACAAGAUUGAUUUUAAAAAAGAAAGGAAAGAUAAUGGGAACGGGUACAGCCACUGGUGUAGGUGGAAGUUGGAAAGGUAGGAUAUAGACGGAAAUUUAAUGUAUAUCUUUAAGCAACUACAAACCAUUGAUAACGAAAAAACGAUUCUGAACGGAGUUGAUAGUGAUGCUUUAUCAACAGUAUAUAUAUAUAUAUAUAUAUAUAUACAUAUUUAUCAUUUUUUA